rnacentral:rRNA from 1 species
AGAGUUUGAUCAUGGCUCAGAUUGAACGCUGGCGGCAGGCCUAACACAUGCAAGUCGAGCGGAUGAAGAGAGCUUGCUCUUUGAUUCAGCGGCGGACGGGUGAGUAAUGCCUAGGAAUCUGCCUGAUAGUGGGGGACAACGUUUCGAAAGGAACGCUAAUACCGCAUACGUCCUACGGGAGAAAGCAGGGGACCUUCGGGCCUUGCGCUAUCAGAUGAGCCUAGGUCGGAUUAGCUAGUUGGUGAGGUAAUGGCUCACCAAGGCGACGAUCCGUAACUGGUCUGAGAGGAUGAUCAGUCACACUGGAACUGAGACACGGUCCAGACUCCUACGGGAGGCAGCAGUGGGGAAUAUUGGACAAUGGGCGAAAGCCUGAUCCAGCCAUGCCGCGUGUGUGAAGAAGGUCUUCGGAUUGUAAAGCACUUUAAGUUGGGAGGAAGGGCAUUAACCUAAUACGUUAGUGUUUUGACGUUACCGACAGAAUAAGCACCGGCUAACUUCGUGCCAGCAGCCGCGGUAAUACGAAGGGUGCAAGCGUUAAUCGGAAUUACUGGGCGUAAAGCGCGCGUAGGUGGUUUGUUAAGUUGAAUGUGAAAGCCCCGGGCUCAACCUGGGAACUGCAUCCAAAACUGGCAAGCUAGAGUAUGGCAGAGGGUGGUGGAAUUUCCUGUGUAGCGGUGAAAUGCGUAGAUAUAGGAAGGAACACCAGUGGCGAAGGCGACCACCUGGGCUAAUACUGACACUGAGGUGCGAAAGCGUGGGGAGCAAACAGGAUUAGAUACCCUGGUAGUCGACAUCGUUUACGG